GUAGGUGGCAAGCGUUGUCCGGAAUUAUUGGGCGUAAAGCGCGCGCAGGCGGUUUUUUAAGUCUGAUGUGAAAGCCCACGGCUCAACCGUGGAGGGUCAUUGGAAACUGGAGAACUUGAGUACAGAAGAGGAAAGCGGAAUUCCACGUGUAGCGGUGAAAUGCGUAGAGAUGUGGAGGAACACCAGUGGCGAAGGCGGCUUUCUGGUCUGUAACUGACGCUGAGGCGCGAAAGCGUGGGGAGCAAACAGGGAUUAGAUACCCUGGUAGUCCACGCCGUAAACGAUGAGUGCUAAGUGUUAGGGGGUUUCCCGCCCCCUUAGUGCUGCAGCUAACGCAUUAAGCACUCCGCCUGGGGAGUACGGCCGCAAGGCUG
rnacentral:rRNA from 1 species